GAUGAACGCUGGCGGCGUGCCUAAUACAUGCAAGUCGAGCGAACAGAUGAGGAGCUUGCUCCUCUGACGUUAGCGGCGGACGGGUGAGUAACACGUGGAUAACCUACCUAUAAGACUGGGAUAACUUCGGGAAACCGGAGCUAAUACCGGAUAAUAUAUUGAACCGCAUGGUUCAAUAGUGAAAGACGGUUUUGCUGUCACUUAUAGAUGGAUCCGCGCCGCAUUAGCUAGUUGGUAAGGUAACGGCUUACCAAGGCAACGAUGCGUAGCCGACCUGAGAGAGUGAUACUCCACAAGGGAGGUUAGGAAGGGACGACACUCCAACGGGAAGCGGAAGAGAGGAAUCUUACACAGUGGGGAAAGAGGUGACGGAGAAAUGCCGCGUGAGUGAUGAAGGCCUUGGGAUCGGAAACCACUGUUAUGCUGGAAGAACAGAGGUGUACGAAAAUAUGCACGGGUGGACGGUACCUGCACAGAAAGCCACGGCUAACGACGUG
rnacentral:rRNA from 1 species